rnacentral:lncRNA from 1 species
CCGUCCAACCCAUGCUAGCAUGGAAAGCGGACGUUAAAUGAUGAUGAUGAUGAUGAUAUAUAUAUAUAUAUAUAUGUAUAUACACACACACAAAUACAUCCAACAGGCUCUAAGCAUUCAUGGAACUGAUGUGUCUUUGAGCACAUAGAGGUACUCUUUUUCUUUCAUUUUCCAAUUUUCCAUUUCAAUCAAUGAAGGUAUUCUUAGAGAAACUCAGUUAAUUAAAUUGCUGAAUAUGGUCAAAGUAACGUAAGCAACAAAUUGUAAUUUAAGUGGUGUUGUCCUUUAUGAAACUCGGAUCUGUUAUAUUCCAAGAUCUGAAUUAAUGGAACACUAACGAGAUGGGUCAUAAUUAAGAAAUUAUGGCUUGAAAAGAUUUGUGUGUGUGUGUUUGUGUAAAAAAUUUCUUACAGUUUAAUAACAAGAUGAAUAAAACUUUAUUGAUGCAAUGAAGCUGAAUUGAUGAAGUGCAGAGACAGUAAUUGCAUCUGGAAAAAGGAAAAAAGAUGCUUUCCUUUCAUCUGACAACAUCGAAUAUCUGUUGGCUGUUUCAAUUCUCAACCAUAACAUUCUUCUGUAACAUGUUGGUUGUGUUGACCAAAUCACUGUCCUUCUCCUCAGCCUGGCUUUUUGCUUGCCCUUUAACCUUUUAAAGUUCAGAUUACUUCAUCAAAUUAUUUUCAGUCAAUCAUUGGAUUAUCUCAAAGCUUCAAGAUGAUAAUGCUGUGAUUAUCUUAAGUAUAACAUUGUAGGGUAGGUGUGAGAGGCUGGAUCUGACCAGUUUGAACAUAAAACAGGUAGAAUAUCUGGGGCCGGAUUUAGUUGGUUUAAAUGCAAAAGGGUUAACUAAGAAAAGGUGCUUUCACCUGUUGUCUCUCUUCUUCUGUAAACUGCUGUCUUCCUCACCUUUUUUGUUAUUCCAUUGGCUGUGAGCAUUUGCCAAACCAACUGACCAGGAAAUACUCUUCAGCAACGUUGACUGGAAAUACCCAUACUUGUAAAAGGUUUCUGGUGUUCUGUCCUCUCUUGAUCACACUUUUCUCAAACAGGACUUUGUAAGUUCAGUCUUCUCCACUACUUCAGAGCACAGAGCAAUGCUCAACCUCGGGCUUGGGCUUGUCUUCAUGACUUGCACCCUUCCUCCUAAGUCUACUUCCAUGUCCCCACAACAGGACAAUUUGUUGUUCUUGCUGUGGUUGACAGCUCCCUUUUCUCCCUCAUAAACUUGAUUAAUGGCAUAGGUUUCCCCUAGGUUUGGCAUUUCUUGCUUGCCUCCUCCUCCUCCAAAAUAUUAGCAGGUGCUAUGAGCACCUUGUUAUGAUCAUAUCUGUAUCCCCUUUAGAUAGUGUUGACACCCUGAUGCAGAAGACACUUGGCCAAAGUGCCACACAGUGGGACUAACUCAGAACCAAGCUUCCUACCACACAGCCACACCUUUACCUAUAUGGCUUUGGUUUUUCAAUCCUCUUCUAAUUGAUAUACUUGGAAACAGUCUCUUCCAAUGAUCUGAUUUAACUUGAGAGUUUUGUCACAUUUUUUCCAAAAUUUCUGAAUUUGUGAGUGUUGCGGGGAGCAAUAUAAGCUGGUGGUGCAUGUAUCCAAGAAACUUUGCUGGUUUCCCUUCUACAUCUAAACAACUGCACAACAUAUUAACGUUUAUUCUUGCUAUUAAGCUCUUUCCUUUUUACUUGUAAUUUUUUAAAUUCUGCCCUAGCUUCUUAAAUGUUUCAUUAAUUGCGAUUUUAGCAUUUGAUGGCUCAAUUAAUUUAGCAGUUACCUUACUUUGACCAUAUUUUAUGAUGUUAACUGAAUUUGUUUUUUAACUACAACACUUUGAUUACUCCAGAGAGAAUUUGAUAGAACAUUUUAUCUGUAUUCAGUGACACAAAGUUAAUGUUCAAUUAUCUGAUGAUGUUCAGUUUGAAGCUUGGCAUUUUGCAAACUCUCAGUAACUUGAAUUAUCAGGAUUUUUAUAAAUACACAUAUUUUAACUCUUCUUCAUAUUAAGUCCUUUUGCCUUUGAUGUAUGUAACUUUACAUACAUACAUAUAUAUAUAUAUAUAUAUGUGUGUGUAUUUGUGUGAUGGCUGCAACUCAAUUUUGAGCAAUGCUUGAUGAUUCUCUUUAAAAAAUGAGUAGUAAUGAUGAGCACCUCUUGCAGCAGGUGUUGAAGUUUACCAACCAUGCUGACAUACACCUCCAUGGAACUUAUAUGCCAUGUUUAAAACACCCAGUACACUCUGUGAAGUGGGUGACAUUAGGAAGGGCAUCCAGCUGUAGGAACCAUGUCAAAACAGACGAAUAGAGCUCCAGCUGGCCUAUUCCUGUCAAACUAUCCAAUCCAUGCAAGCAUGGAGAAUGGAUGUUAAAUGAUGAUGAUAUAUAGAUAUAUACACACAUACUCACAUAUAGAUUUGAGGAGGGUUACAAGCAGAGGGAAAAGUACUUUAUGUCUGUAGUAGAGGUUAUUCAUUUCAUUUCAUAACUGUUGAUCCACACUGUUGCUGCUGCAAGCUUUUUGUUUUGCUGAGAUGUUUCCAGUUGUUUCUGUGCACAGAAACAAGAAACUCACAGUAACAAUUAAGUGAUUCUAAGUAGUACUAAAUACCUGGUGUAAAGUAUGCUAUUUAUUUAAGCUGAAAUUUUUUUUCCUGUAACUCAAAUCUUUCACAGUUAUGAUUAUCAGACAAGAAUUUUCUAACCUGAUGAUUACAACGGCCAGAAUGUGUCAAAAUAAAAGGGAGUUCUGACUAAAUGAACUAAAUAUACAUGUGUGCAUUUUGUUCAUGGUAUAAGUCUCUUGUUUAUGAGGAAGACUGUAUGGUAUUCAGGUAUGACUUGCAGGUGUGUUUUUUUUUUUUUUUUUCAAAAUGGGUUAAAUAAAAUUCAAUGAAGCCAAGUCAUCGGGUCAGUUCACUCGGACAUCACUAUUUGCUGACAGCCUUGACCACCAACCAAUUCUUAUCUUAAAAAAUUCCUAUCUGCUUUCUCCACCACCCACCACUCCCUGACUUGAAUGGGUUUUUCAAUUUAAUGGUUACCAAAUAGAGAGUUGUUUGAACAUAGAGGACGACCAGUUGCUUUUGUUUUGGCAGUGAUAUGGAGUUGGAUGGAGUCGUGCUGUAUUGUCAGUGCCAAUGAGGGAAUCCAGUAUAUUACUGGAAUUUUGUUUUAUGGAAAAAAAAAAAAGGAAAAAAAAAGAAAAAGAAACUGUUCCCCAUGAGAGUAAGUUUGGACUUGGAGAGACAGAAAACUAAAUUACCGUCACCUGUUUGGCCUAACACUCUGCUCUUUCUGAAAACUAACUGCCCCACUCCCUGUUAUGGUUAUGAAAUGUUAAAAUUGCUUUAGUAAAAAAGAAAGACAAAAAAAAAAAUGGGGGAAAAAAGUUGAAUGUUUCUUUUUUGUUUAUAAUUUUAAACACAUUCAUGUUAUAUUGUUUGUUGUUCAGAAAGAAUUCAUUUGUUGGCUUUAUUCUUCUUCUGUGUUUUUUUGGUAAAAAAAAUAAAUAAAUAAACUUUAAAAAAAAUUGAAAUGUUGAUUGUCAUUCUGAAUUGAUGUAACAAUUUUUUUUUUUUUUUUAAAUCCACUUUGUUUCAUGAAAAUACUAUGGUUUCGGAUUGUUUGAUGAUCUCUGUUCAUCCUUAGUUGUUUUCUUUGGUGUAUUUAUGUACAGGUGACACACGACAACGAACAGAGAACUAACACAUUUGAAAUAUAGUUUUGUUUGUUUUUUUGGAAGGGUUUGGGGUCAAACUGGGGGGUGGGUGGGAAUUAAGUCUGCCAUCAGUAUUAAUAAAAUCCCAUCUAAACAA